rnacentral:misc_RNA from 1 species
CUUUAACAAUCACAUAAAAGUAAGGAGAGAUAAGUCUACCUCUAAGAUCCGCAGAGGAAGAGACCUCUGAUUUAUGAUAAAGAAAGGUAUAGUGUUUAGAGAAAGAGAUAGAUAAGGGAGCUUACGACAAUAUCAAUCACAACAAUGAUUCAGACCCAUGAAAGAAAAGAGUGCCUGAUUAAAGUAAAAAAUGCAUCAGUAAUUAACUGAAAGGCAAGAAUAUCACAAUAGUGAGAAAUUAUGGCGAAUGCCAGAACAAGAAUAAUAAAUAAUUUGGGGCUAAACCAAACAAAGGUAAAAAUGCUACAGUGUGCAGACGACAUUGUGUGUAUAUAUGUGAAAGGACUAUUACUAUAGAAAGAAGCAAUACACCAAUGGGGCAAUAGAAAUAACAAUAAGCAAAUUAAUGGAAAACUUAAACAACAUUAAACUAUAUGUCGGGUUCACAUUAUGAUUAGAGUUAGGGGCGUGAAACGAAUCUUCAUUUGGAUUAGACAUUAUUGUUAUGCAAUAGAGAAGAUAUUUACUAGUGCAAAUAUGAUUAUUA